rnacentral:rRNA from 1 species
AACGAACGCUGGCGGCAUGCCUAACACAUGCAAGUCGAACGAGACCUUCGGGUCUAGUGGCGCACGGGUACGUAACGCGUGGGAAUCUGCCCUUGGGUUCGGAAUAACAGCGAGAAAUUGCUGCUAAUACCGGAUGAUGACGUAAGUCCAAAGAUUUAUCGCCCAAGGAUGAGCCCGCGUAGGAUUAGCUAGUUGGUGAGGUAAAGGCUCACCAAGGCGACGAUCCUUAGCUGGUCUGAGAGGAUGAUCAGCCACACUGGGACUGAGACACGGCCCAGACUCCUACGGGAGGCAGCAGUGGGGAAUAUUGGACAAUGGGCGAAAGCCUGAUCCAGCAAUGCCGCGUGAGUGAUGAAGGCCUUAGGGUUGUAAAGCUCUUUUACCCGGGAUGAUAAUGACAGUACCGGGAGAAUAAGCCCCGGCUAACUCCGUGCCAGCAGCCGCGGUAAU